CUACCACACCAGUUAUUUUGUUUCCCAGUAUUUCAGGUAUUAAAUACAAUUAAGAGAAGGAUGUUUGUGUUGAGGUGCUGUGUCACAACCCUCUUUCUGAUAAUGGGGAAGAUUGAUGUAGAAAUAUCCUUUUGUUGUGUGAAGUAGAAAUCUUCUCCAAGGAGAAAACUUCUUUUCACUCCCACUUAAAUAUUCACCACCACAAUCAACUAUAAUAUCAUUACUGAUAUUUAGCACAUGCAUUUGUGGUCUGUUCUUUCCUAGAGCAAAUUUCUUGAUCCAGUUUCAGCCCAGGCACUUGCCUCCUUUGGAGCCUCUACCAAACCACACUGCUCUGGGGAAGGAGUCACCUUCAUCCAUCACAUUCCCAAAGUUCACUGACAAAAAUAAUCAGCACCAGCAGUGCAACGUGGACCUGUCCUCGGUGCAUGACAAUGGACUUGGAUGCAGACAUUUCCAUCUGGAACCAGCUGCAGGAGUCGUGGCAGGGCCGGGACUCUGUGGGCACUGCUGCAGCUGUGUGGGACACAGCACGGACAUUGGGCACUGCUACAGGGACAAUGCAUCUCUUGUCUUUAACUAAUUUUCUGUCUACUGAUGACAAUAGGAAUAAAAGGGGGAAAAAAUAUCCCUUGAAAUAAACA
rnacentral:lncRNA from 1 species